ACGAACGCUGGCGGCGUGCUUAACACAUGCAAGUCGAGCGGUAAGGCCUCUUCGGGGGUACACGCGCGGCGAACGGGUGAGUAACACGUGGGUGACCUGCCCUCAGCUCUGGGAUAAGCCUGGGAAACUGGGUCUAAUACCGGAUAUGACCUUUCCUCGCAUGGGGUUUGGUGGAAAGUUUUUUCGGCUGGGGAUGGGCCCGCGGCCUAUCAGCUUGUUGGUGGGGUGAUGGCCUACCAAGGCGACGACGGGUAGCCGGCCUGAGAGGGCGACCGGCCACACUGGGACUGAGACACGGCCCAGACUCCUACGGGAGGCAGCAGUGGGGAAUAUUGCGCAAUGGGCGGAAGCCUGACGCAGCGACGCCGCGUGGGGGAUGACGGCCUUCGGGUUGUAAACCUCUUUCGACCCCGACGAAUUUGGACGGUAGGGGUAGAAGAAGCACCGGCCAACUACGUG
rnacentral:rRNA from 1 species